AGUAAAGUCAGCUAAUCAAGCUCUUGGGCCCAUACCCCAAACAUGUUGGUUAAAGUCCUUCCUGUACUA
rnacentral:tRNA from 1 species